rnacentral:lncRNA from 1 species
GCAAAGAUAGUUUAUCUUCCCUCCCAUGUACUCAAAGACUGUUUUGUGGGUGGAUAAGUCCUCUUACUUCCACAUGCACACACAUAAGACAGAAAAGAUAAAUAAAUAAAACAAAUAAACAUGGAAACAACUUAGAAUCCUGCAGAUCGGAAGGAGUAACGAUGAGAGCUCUCCAGCAGUUAGGAACAAUCCAACGGAACUCUCAAACAUGGAGACAAGUGAAUGAUCUCCCCAUAUAGCAUUCAACCCUUACCAAACACGUAACGUCUUCAGACACGGAGAUUGGGAUCCAAGCGCGGCCGCAAAGAACACCAUUGGAUUACCAGAAAAUCAUAUCUUACCUGCAACAGCCACCACACGCACCCUCUGACAACCAAAACAUACGUUACAGAAGUGGAUGCAGUAGAACCAAACCAACUCUCUUAGAUUCCACAGACACUGGACAAGACUGCGGUAGACAGUUUAGUGGCUGCUGACGAAAUAUAAUUUGGAGACCAUGACGCCCUCGUCCAGACAUGUAUGUGUGGUACAUCCAUAUACCAGAGGAGCAGAAUCAAACAACAAGUCAAAUUAAGUAGCUGUUCUGUUUACAAAUCGAACAUCUGAAUUAGCCCCAACAAGCCAAUUAGCUCAAAACUCAGAAACAUGCGGCAAGAUCUCAGCUACGAAUUUGAAGCCCGGCACUAGAACUAAUGAGGAGGUUAUGAUGGUUGAGGCCACGCAAGACAACGUCGAAGAGCCAUGUAUGAGGGACCAAGAAACACAUGACGAGCCACAGCAUGUCACGGCUCCUGAGAAAUGGAACUCUUCUGCGAUACAGUAGACUCCACGUAAACUCUCAGGUGAGAAAUGUAGCCUAGUCAGGGCCAUGGUAGCAAGAUGCAGUCAAGACGAGGCGUGGUCCGAGGAGGACUCCGAAGAAACUAAACAUGUCUACAUCGCGAGGAGCCACAGAUACGAGCAUGGUGCUUAAAAACC